rfam:Octopus bimaculoides Scaffold30554_contig_121, whole genome shotgun sequence.
CCUCUUGCACAGAGGCAGUACCAUGGCCAAUGAAGUGUAUCUGAGGCGUGGUUAUUGCUGUUUGAAACUAUGUCUAUAUAUGUGCACGCGUGUGUGUGUGCGUGGGUGUGUGUGUAUGUGUAUAUAUACA